GAUGAAGAACGUAGCGAAAUGCGAUAAGUAAUGUGAAUUGCAGAAUUCAGUGAAUCAUCGAAUCUUUGAACGCACCUUGCGCCCUUUGGCCAUUCCGAAGGGCAUGCCUGUUUGAGUAUCAUGAACACCUCAACUCUUUAUGGUUUUCCAUGAUGAGCUUGGACUCUGGGGGUUUUGCUGGCUCACAGUCGGCUCCACUAAAAUGAAUCAGCUUACCAGUGUUUGGUGGGUAUCAUGGGUGUGAUAACUAUCUACGCUUGUGGUUUUUCCACCAGGUAACCUUCAGCAGUGGAGGUUCGCUGGAGCUCAUAGAUGUCUCUCCUCAGUGAGGACAGCCCUUUGAAUGUUUGAUCUCAAAUCAGGUAGGACUACCCGCUGAACUUAAGCAUAUCAAUAAGCGGAGGA
rnacentral:misc_RNA from 1 species